rfam:Idiomarinaceae bacterium HL-53 ITZY_scaf_23, whole genome shotgun sequence.
GCCCAGAUAGCUCAGUUGGUAGAGCAGGGGAUUGAAAAUCCCCGUGUCGGUGGUUCGAUUCCGCCUCUGGGCA